rnacentral:rRNA from 1 species
AAAGACCUUAUGCUUUUGGAGCGGCCGAUGUCUGAUUAGCUAGUUGGUAAGGUAAAGGCUUACCAAGGCGACGAUCAGUAGUUGGUCUGAGAGGACGACCAGCCCCACUGGGACUGAGACACGGCCCAGACUCCUACGGGAGGCAGCAGUGGGGAAUUUUGGACAAUGGGCGCAAGCCUGAUCCAGCAAUGCCGCGUGAGUGAAGAAGGCCUUCGGGUUGUAAAGCUCUUUCAGUCGAGAAGAAAAGAUUAUGACUAAUAAUCAUAAUUUAUGACGGUAUCGACAGAAGAAGCACCGGCUAACUGCGUGCCAGCAGCCGCGGUAAUACGUAGGGUGCGAGCGUUAAUCGGAAUUACUGGGCGUAAAGGGUGCGCAGGCGGUUCUGCAAGUCAGAUGUGAAAUCCCCGGGCUUAA